ensembl:lncRNA
CAACAUAAUAAAAAGUCAAGCUGAAUCUUGUUCAACUUAGAAUAUGUUGAAACUGGUUCAAUUAUUUUGAUGAGUAAGAGUAAUGGAAAAAAAACAUGUUGCAUAUGUUACAUUAAAAACAUAUAUUUAAGUUGCAUUAAAAAUGUACAUUAACAUUAGAUGAUGUUAAAUCCACUGCUGUUUUAUAUAGAAUAGUCUAUAAAGUAUUUAAUGCAAUUACAUCAGAAGUAACUAUAAUUGGAUUACAGAAAAUAAUAGAAGUAAUCCCUUACUUUACUCCUAACACUGAUAGGGACAAACAUUCAAUAUAUAAAAAAUGAUAAUUUAACCUUUAUACAGUAUAUCUUGACUAAGGUGGUAAACACACACACACACACAAAAGAAGGCAAUUUGCUGAAAUGCAAACAUUUUAUAACAUUGAGGUGGGCGAGAUUCGACAUCUGGUUUUUGUCAAGGCAUGAUAUCUUAUUCUCUAAUUUGGAAAGGUUAAAAUAUUGCGCCAUGAUGGCAUCUUUAGUCAAGCUGCCGACGUGUUCAGACAUUGCAUGUGUGGGGGAGAAAUUCUCCGAAAUGAAAGCACAAGGCUAAUGAAAACUGAUAUGCUGUUUUUUAGCUGUUAAUAUGUGUGGAAGUAUUAACACCUCGCACUGUAUCUUGUGUUUAGGCAGACUCUGUGUUACAAGAGCGAUGCUGCUGUUAUGGAUGACAUUCUCUCUCACAUGGUCUGGCACAAUCGGCUUUAUGAUCCACAGCAUGAAGGAAGGUCUGUGUCUGGAGGACUCAUCUGAAGGAGUUGUUGAGUUAAGGACAUGCAGUCUGGACUCGGUCCUGCAGCAGUGGAAGUGGACAGAUCACUGGUUCCUAGUAAACACAGGCACCCUGAGGUGUCUUUCUGCCAUCCACACUGACCCAGUCCAGACUAUCGCUUGUGAUUCUGGUGAACAUAUCAAAUGGCAGUGCAAAGCUCAACAGCUCAUCAGUCAGCAAAACUCUCUGGCAUUGAGCACUGAGAGAGGAAAACUCAGACUGAACAAGGGUGAACAUGACACCUGGAAGUCUCUGGAUGCGGGUGACAUCUGCCAGAAUAAACGGAGAUCCAGAAGAGAAAGUGAUUUAGAGACCGAUGAGUUUGACUUUCCUGAAGGGCCGCCUAAACAAAGAAUGACAGAGGCACAGAUGAAGUUUUUACAGUGGUAUUACCGUACAGAGGACUCAACAUCGUGGAAGUUUGGCAUGCUGGCAUUUGCUUUUCUGGGUCUUCUGAUUGGGGCGAUGCUUCUGGUCAUGGGCAUGAUGGCUAAUAGGAACAGGAAGCAAAUAGCCAAAUACAAAGCAGCCUCAAAAGUCACAGCAGUGGAAUCUGAAAUGGAGGAACUGCAGGCCAUCGUCACUGAUAAUGUCACAGAGGUCAAGGAGGAGAAAACCCAUUUCACCCCAUCUGAACCAAUUACUACACAUAACAGCCACAGGGAAUGGGAUUGGGGAGAGCCUUCAUACGAUAGCAAAGCCUCAGAGAGACUGAAGCCCGGAGAAAUUGUGGUGACCUGGAAGGACGGGAAUGUGUCUACUCUGUAUCCUGAACCUGCAGAGGAAGAGGACAUCCACAACACAGAUGCAGAGUCUAUGUCCCACAACUCCCCCCAAGGAAUAGCUUCAUCUGAGACGACUGCAUUUUAAUUUAGUCCUACUGUUUGUGUUAAUUUUAACACUAUAUUCAAGAUGGCAUCGGA